rnacentral:rRNA from 1 species
UACGUAGGUGGCAAGCGUUGUCCGGAUUUACUGGGCGUAAAGGGCGUGCAGGCGGUUUGUUAAGUGCAGGGUGAAAGCUCCCGGCUCAACUGGGAGGGGUCAUUCGAUACUGGCGGGCUCGAGGCCGGUAGGGGGAAGCGGAAUUCCCGGUGUAGUGGUGGAAUGCGUAGAUAUCGGGAGGAACACCAGUGGCGAAGGCGGCUUCCUGGACCGGUUCUGACACUGAGGAGCGAAAGCGUGGGGAGCGGAUCCGG